UCUGUCAUUAUAACAGGAGGAAACGAAGGGAUGGUCAAACUGAAGAUCUCACAGUGAAACAGAUCUCUGAUCCCAAUGAAGACACAUAUACAGCUCUUGAGCUCAAGUCCACGACCUCUGACCUGUACGACACACUCACAACGGUUCAUCCCAGAGCUCCUGAAGACUCCUGCAGGACUCUUGAUCCUCAGAGCUUUUCUAAACAUGAGAAUCCAUCAAUCAACAGGAAGAUGCUGCAGUAAGAGGCGGAGCAUGAAGGAACCAAUCCUGAGCUCUGUGGGCGGAGCCACAUAUGAUUGACAGGGAUCAUCAGUGAUGAGUCACUAAAGAUGUUUAUUUCUGUAUAGUUGAAG